CUGAUGCAAACCUGGUCAAAUAAAAGCAAACAUUUGACAAAGUGAUUGAAUUCAACGAAGAAUUCAAGCGGACGUCAAACGAAUGACUGAUGCAAACCAGGUCAAAUAAAAGCAAACAUUUGACAAAGUGAUUGAAUUCAACGAAGAAUUCAAGCGGACGUCAAACGAAUGACUGAUGCAAACCAGGUCAAAUAAAAGCAAACAUUUGACAAAGUGAUUGAAUUCAACGAAGAAUUCAAGCGGACGUCAAACGAAUGACUGAUCCAAACCAGGUCAAAUAAAAGCAAACAUUUGACAAAGUGAUUGAAUUCAACGAAGAAUUCAAGCGGACGUCAAACGAAUGACUGAUGCAAACCAGGUCAAAUAAAAGCAAACAUUUGACAAAGUGAUUGAAUUCAACGAAGAAUUCAAGCGGACGUCAAACGAAUGACUGAUCCAAACCAGGUCAAAUAAAAGCAAACAUUUGACAAAGUGAAUGAAUUCAACGAAGAAUUCAAGCGGACGUCAAACGAAUGACUGAUGCAAACCAGGUCAAAUAAAAGCAAACAUUUGACAAAGUGAUUGAAUUCAACGAAGAAUUCA
rnacentral:lncRNA from 1 species